rnacentral:SRP_RNA from 1 species
ACUAACAUUAAAGGGGAAUUCAACAGAUGCAAUGGGCCAUGCCUAUAGUCCCAGGAGUUCUGGGCUGUAGAGCAUUGUGCUGAUCAGAUGUCCAAACUAAAUUCAGCAUCAACAUGGUGACCUUGUGGGGAGCCGGAGGACCACCAGGUUGCCUCAGGAGGCAUGAAGUGGUCCAGGUUGCAAUUGGAGCAGAAUCAAACUCCCAUACUGAUCAAUAGUGGGAUCAUGCUUGUGGAUAGCAACUGCAUUCAAAUCCUGGAAGCAUAGCAAGACCUCAUUACU